GCAGUCGAACGGCAGCACAGUAAGAGCUUGCUCUUAUGGGUGGCGAGUGGCGGACGGGUGAGGAAUACAUCGGAAUCUACCUUUUCGUGGGGGAUAACGUAGGGAAACUUACGCUAAUACCGCAUACGACCUUCGGGUGAAAGCAGGGGACCUUCGGGCCUUGCGCGGAUAGAUGAGCCGAUGUCGGAUUAGCUAGUUGGCGGGGUAAAGGCCCACCAAGGCGACGAUCCGUAGCUGGUCUGAGAGGAUGAUCAGCCACACUGGAACUGAGACACGGUCCAGACUCCUACGGGAGGCAGCAGUGGGGAAUAUUGGACAAUGGGCGCAAGCCUGAUCCAGCCAUACCGCGUGGGUGAAGAAGGCCUUCGGGUUGUAAAGCCCUUUUGUUGGGAAAGAAAAGCAAUCGAUUAAUACUCGGUUGUUCUGACGGUACCCAAAGAAUAAGCACCGGCUAACUUCGUGCCAGCAGCCGCGGUAAUACGAAGGGUGCAAGCGUUACUCGGAAUUACUGGGCGUAAAGCGUGCGUAGGUGGUUGUUUAAGUCUGUUGUGAAAGCCCUGGG
rnacentral:rRNA from 1 species